rnacentral:lncRNA from 1 species
UGUAGUUAAAAAAAAAGCCUAACAUGAUCAUUUAUACCGUUUGCAGAUCAAGUCCUUUUAAUUAUUCGACAUGGAGACCAGCAAAGAGAGCAUGAAGAUCUUUAUCAUCCUCUGUGUAUCCUCAAAUGGUUCUGUUAAACUACCGAGAUCUUGAUGCUCUAGUUUUGAAAGAUGCAUGGCUUCAGCUUCAAUGAGAAAACUGAUCAAGAAGUAGCAGGGCUUCCGCAAUUACACUGGAGGAAAGUUAUUUCAUUAUUAUUAACUCAUGCAUGCGUUAAAACGAGAACCUAAAACCAUCUGUGCUUUUAAUAGAAAACCAAUUAAAUAUAGAAAUUUAUGUUUAGCUUUUUCUUUAACCUAUGGGCCAUAAUAUAAAAUUAGUGCCCACAUUUUUUCUCCCCCUCUUUCAUUUUUAUUCUUUUCCUCUCUUCCCAUUUAUUUAAAUCAAAUAUAUACUUAACUCCAAACUAAUUUCUAAAUAAUCUCUCAAACGUCAAAUUCAUAUAUAUAUAUAUAUAAUUAAUUAAUUACCAUGCAAGAUGCACACCUCAACUCAUUCAUUCUAAAAUAAAAUGCAUCUCUUAUUUUGUAUGUAUUUAUUCUAAAGCUACUAAUUUUAUUGAUAAUUACAAUGAAUAAAAGUGUACCAACAUAAAAUUUACUAAAUUAUUGUGCUAAUUUAUUCUACACAUUUUCAAACAAAUGGAUCCAACUGUUUUUUUUUUUUGUUUUUUUUAUUUUUCAGAAACUACUAAUUAUCUGAGUCCUAAAAACGUCUUCAUCGCUAGCGCUAUACCUUGACCCGAUGAUCCUGACAGAUUAAUCACCGGUAGUACAAUCAAUUAAUAAAAUUACUGCUUUUUAGUUCACGAAAACAGAAAAAAUUGAAACUAUAAUCAAUCGCCAGCAAUCAAGCUCUGAUGGGACACUUCCUCUUUUCCAUAAAGUGAAGUCACUCUCACCAGCCCCGAGCCCAAUAUCCCUGAACGGUAGCCACAUAUUACAGAAAUGGACUUUUCUAACAGUUAACGAACAAUAAAGUAUUAUAUUAGAAACUCAAUAAAUAAUGUACUUCAGCUUGGCUUUUGCAAUGAAUCUGAACAAAUGAACUUGAUGAACGCCAUUAUCAGCUGUUGGAGCGGCAGAAGCCAAAUGGCCUUGAGAACUCUUUACCUUCUGCUUCUGGGUCAGCUUGUUUCUUUUUCACUUGCCCUCUCGAGCUUCACCACAGCUGUUAUAAC